rnacentral:rRNA from 1 species
CGCGUAGACGGUUGGAUAAGUUAGUUGUGAAAUACCUGUGCUUAACGCAGGAAGUGCAACUAAAACUGUCUUACUUGAGUAUGGGAGAGGAAAGCGGAAUUCCUAGUGUAGCGGUGAAAUGCGUAGAUAUUAGGAGGAACAUCAGUGGCGAAGGCGGCUUUCUGGACCAAAACUGACGUUGAGGCGCGAAAGUGUGGGGAGCAAACA